rnacentral:lncRNA from 1 species
AGAUAGUACUAGUUCAUAAUAGCUCCAAUAAAUAAUAGAGAGAUGGAGCAAUGGCUUAAUAUGUAAAUUUCUCUAAAUCCAUGGGCCAUUACAAACCAUUCAGCUAUAUAUACCGUCAUAUACAUCAGUACUGGACCAAUUCAUUUCACCCCUCACAAACAAAUCUGUAAAUCUCAACAAUCACCGAAUUCCAUUACUAGUAUAAUCACAUCGGAGAAAUUCAAAAAUGGCGGGGGUAAGAAAAGAAAUGAUGAGUAUAAAUGGAGUAAACAUGUUAAGAAGGGUGGAAUAUGGAAGACCAAUUCCAAAAAGAGGGCAAGUGAAACUCACUAUAGUGUUGGAAUUAGCUCAAUCUCUCUCUUCUAUUUUCUCCAAUCGCCGAUAGACAUUAGAAAGUACCCAAUUUUGGUAAAUUUAGAGUGUGUUGAAGGUAUCAUUAUCCUUUAAUUAGAUAUUGAGCUUACUAUUUUUUGUAUUUUGUACAUUCAACACUCCCAUUUGUAUAAAGUUUUGGAGAUUAAGUUUUCAAUUUCUUCCUUAGCUAAACACAUUCUUCUAUUUGUUUUGUUAAUCGUUAAUUUAUGCACUACUUAUGAAAUAGGAUAGAAAUCCAGCUCCCCUACACAUACUCAAAUACACGUUUAAUUUUCAAGUCAUUAAAAAUAUUUAUUCAAAAUGAUGUUCACUUUUAUCUAUUAUUCAUAUUCCCUAUAAAUAUAUUCCGAGUAGGUGUAAAAGAGAGCAGACAAAAUGCUGUCAAAAUUUACAAUCUAGUAGACAAGUAGUAAUUAGAUACAGAAAAAUUUCCUAGGUGUGUCUAUAUAUUUUUACAUACGAGGACUGAAAUAAGCAACGUGGGAAAAAAGUCAUUUAUGAAAAAGUUAUAUAUAUUAGAUUGUAGAUAUUGAAAUUUUAAGAUAUUUGGAGGCUACUCUGUUUUAUGCUUUAGCUUACUUUUAUAUAACGCGUAACAUAUUUUCUUGAAGAGACAUCUUCACAUUCUAUAAAUUCCUGAAAUUCACGACAAGAUAUCAAAUAUUAGUCUAUCAAAAUAACGUUUCAAUAAAAUUAGUGGUCUAAACCUAAAUUUAAAUCCGAGGCUUAAAAAUAUACGUAUACAUAAUAAAUAAAAAAUUAAUGUCAUUUUUUGUCUUUUUUAUAAUUGUUGUGUUUAGUGUAGUAUUAUAUUUUAUCUAGUGAUAUUAUUAUUUAUAAUACUAAGGAUUGAUGCAAGUUAAUAAUACGUUAAUCAGGUAUUUUCAAUACAUUACCUUGGAUGUUAUUGUAAAUAUAUUACUUCUUAUUAUAAAGAUUUGAGUAGUUUAAUUCAGAAUUUCAAAAUAUUCUAUUGAAUGAUGAUAUUUUUUUUAACUAUAUCCAUUAUUGUCAAAUUUUUUUUUUUAUAAAAUUAAUAAAAAAAAUUUGAGGCAUUGAGAUUUUGGGACCUAAAGCAAAGAUUUUACUAGCCUCACACUUGAGCAACCCAUGACCAUUGCCCUAUGUUUCUAACGAUUAAAUAUACAUUAGGUCGAAAUCAUCCUACAUUUGAAAAAUAAUUUAUUGACAGUCCUCGAAUUAUGAAGAAAAUUCAAAGAGAAGAAUCAAGGAAUAUAUAAAUUUGUACACAAUCUUAAUAAAUAAAAUCACAUUUUCUUAAAUUACAUUCUUUUAUUUGUUCUGUUAUUGACAUAUAUUUUCAACAUACGAGUAAAUUUGCUGCAAAUAGAAAAUACUUCAAUUAUCAAAACUACACUUAGAACUAUUAUUUUUUUGGUAUCACCAUUUAAAUUACAUUUUUUAUUUAAAUUACACUUAUAUAAUCA